rnacentral:rRNA from 1 species
UACGUAGGGGGCAAGCGUUGUCCGGAUUUAUUGGGCGUAAAGAGCGUGUAGGCGGUCUGGUAGGUCCGUUGUGAAAACUCGAGGCUCAACCUCGAGACGUCGGUUGAAACCGUAUGGCUAGAGUCCGGAAGAGGAGAGUGGAAUUCCCGGUGUAGCGGUGAAAUGCGCAGAUAUCGGGAAGAACACCCGUGGCGAAGGCGGCUCUCUGGGACGGUACUGACGCUGAGACGCGAAAGCGUGGGGAGCGAACAGG